UAAUUUCCACAGCCUUCUCUCUUCCAUUCUUUUCUAAUUCGACUUCUUCAUCUUCUUCAAACGAUUUCUCAUUUUCUUCAUUGAUCCAUAUCCAAAUCUAUCUGUGUUUAUGAUAACUUUUGAAACCCUAGAAACCGAUACGUAAACAACCGUUCGAUCAUCUGUGUUCUUCCUUCAAUGAUCUCGGCAACGAUUGGAACCCUAGAUCUCUAAAGCAACGAUUCGUUUUCGGAUGUCAGAAGAACGGUGCCGGAAUACUCUCUGGUCUCUCACAUGACUUCUACAAGCAGUGAAGCAGGUACACAAGUUAUUGUUAUCAAUAAGGUUUUGGAUUUGAACUCAUUAAGGUAGUAAUCUCUCUAUUUUCUUAUGAUAUUAUUCUUUGGUUUUGGUUCAUAUAAUUUAUUACUGUUUAUAUAUUUUAUUAUGGCUUAUACUGAACUUAUUGGUUUGAUUGUGGAGUGGUUGGGAUUAUGGUCUCUGGGUAAUCAGAUGGAUUAAAGCUUAAGAGUGAAUGUUGAUGGAAGGAAACAAGAACUAAUUGAUGCUUCCGAAGCAAGUGUGUUUUUUUCUGGUUUGCUGACACAAAGAAAGGUACAUCUUUACUGGUCUUUGUAUGCAACCAAAGGACUAAAUUCAGCUAGGAUAUGCGAUUUUGACUAUUAAGGAACUACACCAGCAUGAGUGAAAACAUUUUUUGCUCUUGACAUUCACCACCUUAUUUGUCUAGAUAGGAUGCAGGUCCACUCAUCAUUUGACAGAAUCAAUCAUGUUAAGGAUGCAAUCGUGCUCUCUAAUAUUGUUACAACGAUAUCACCAACAUAUGCACAAGCGUUGCGGACUUCACAGUUAGGGGUGUUUACCGGAUUUUCUUCGGGUUUCGGGUUUUCGGGUCAAGUAGUUCUGGUUUUUGUCUAGAAAAAACUGACCCGAUCACCAACCCAUUUAAAGCUCGGGUUAGUCGGUUUUGGAUCGUUCAAGCCAGGUUGUUCGAUUUUCGAGUUAUAGAUGUAAAACGAAAUUAAAUGUUUUUUUACAAAAUAUAAUCAAAAUUCAUAUUGCUACUUUAAAAACAUCAUCAAAGUUAUUAUGAUAUUUAAAAGUUUCAAAACUUGAUGUUCUAUAUAUUAAAGAGUCCUACCAAAACAUUUUUAUAAGAAAAAAACUCUAAAUAGUCUCAAAACUUAAUGUUCCAUAUAUUAAAGACUCCAUACCAAAAGAUUUCUACAAGAAAAAAACAAUAAAUGUUUAGUUUUAUUCGGGUUUUAUGUUUCGGGUUCGGGUUCGGGUCGGGUUGUUUGGGUUUUUGGCCUGAAAAAAGUAACCUGAACCGAACUAUUGAAAUAGUGGGUUGGUCGGGUUCGGGUUUUUCGCUAAAUCUGGUUCGGAUAAAAAUGAAGAGCCUUAUUCACAGGUAAUGAUAUUUCAUCAAAUUUAUUGCAUUCAGUGUAUAAAUAUAUAUAUACAGAAAUUUUAAUCUAUCAUACAAGUAGGAUAAGGGCUUCAUGAAACCAUUAAUGCUCAUGCUCAAAAGUGUGUUGGGAUUCUGAAUGGAAUUGAUACUGAUUAUUGGAAUACUUCUACCAACAGUUAUCUUAUACUGAAUGGAAUUUGUUUUUUCUCAAAAUCUUAUGCUACUAAAAACAUGUUUUUAGAAUGAUGGAUUUGAUAAGGAGGUGGAACUACGAACACUUUUAGUUGAGGCAAAACACAAUAUUUAGCAUAUUUUAGACUUUUUUACUUUUAAGGUCGAUCUUUCUUCAUUCUUCCUUCCUGUCCAUAAGCUAUUGAAUUUUAGUGUAAUAUCCCAACCAAUAGUAUUUGCUAUACAGUUUACCAUAAUUAUACAUGUUUUAUACUUCUAUAAAAACCUCAACGAAUAAAACUUAUUUUUGGCACAUUUUGACAUGUUACUCAAGAAAUGCCUUUGACCCAAAUGGACCUGAACAUUAGCAUUCGCCGAUGACAAAGUCCAUUUACCUAUUUAUAAGCAGGUCCUUAAAAACUGGUUAAAGUCUUAUUCUUGAGUAACAUAUCAAAAUGGGUCGAGUCAGAUGGAAUUUUUCAUAGGUAAAUGGACUUUUAUCAUAGUCAUUAAUACAAGUGAAAAUAGGAUUCUAAAUCAUGAUAUUAUUUAUUCAUUUAGUGGUUGUAUCAGGUGGCAAAGAAGUGAAGUUAUCGAUGUUGCAGCUGUGAAAAAUACAUGACAAAUUUGGUGGCUGCUAUUGUUGAUAAGGACUGAUUAGUCUUGGGCAGAUCUGUCCAUUUACUUGUUACGGGUCGUAUGCGUCAAUUCUUGCAUUGAUCGGGUAAAUUUCCUUAAUAGAGACUGUAUGAAACUUUAGCAGAUUAUUAA